ensembl:lncRNA
GAAAGUUAACAGCUAAGGAAGAAUAUUUCUCUUGUCUCAUUGACUUCUCAAACCCGAAUCCCCAGCCUGGUCUACUUAAUCUGUUUAGCAAGCGUUCCUGCGAUGUUGCGUAAUCAAGGUUUAGAAACUGUGGUGAUACAGUCACUUAUAACUCCUCCUGUUUUCUAAACGGAAUUUACUGAAGCAGGAAGAAGAAAAGUGAAACAUUUUUUACAGAACCAGAAGGCAAGACCACAGACUAAAAUGUAUCCAUUCAGCCUGUUUGUUUUUUUGGUGCUCCCGUAUCAAGCUUGCUUAGCAUGCUCUCCCAUCAAGAAAAUGGACAGGUGUGAAGAUUUGUGGACGGGAAUUGGAUAUGUGUACCCAUAUGAAACUCCGGCUGGAUCUGAAAUUGAGGUGUACUCAAACAAUACUCCAAUAGCCUACUGUGGCAUGAACAAGCCUUUUGAGGCACAUCUCUCUGAUAAGGUGAUAAAUGUGAACAACAGUGCUGUCAUCCUCUCUGAAUGCCUGAAUCUGACAUUCAAAUUCUUUCAUGUUCUCCAGGGCAAUGUUGAGGAGUGCCAUUUGUAUUACAUUGUUGCAGAGAGGGAGCAUGUGGCUAUGAUAACUAUCAAUCUGACUGACAAUCUGACUGACACCUCGGACAACACAUCAGGAAAUGGAGACAAAGCCAAAGCCACUGGCCACACAAAGGAAAUCACUGCUGGUGUUCUGGUUAUCUUGGCUCUGCUGCUGGGCUUUGCUGGUUUCUUAGUGUACAGAUAUGGCAACAUUCCUUGGAGAGUCAAACAUCCAUUUGCUCUUGUACAGCUAGCUCAGCUGGAUCGGGACUACCUUAACACCAACAGGGAAAGCCAGAGGGACCAGGGGGAUGGGGUGGAAGAGGAGAGGGAGCCACCACACAGUCAGGAGACACAUGUUGAGUCCUCUCUGCUGAAUGGGCAUCCUGUGAACAGCAGACAAGGAGAGAGAGGUGAGCCAAGCGAGAGGUUCGUUCAGCCAAUGGGCCGUGAGGGAACAGAUACUGAAUUCUCUCAGAAGAGACAUGCUGGAUUUCCUCUGGUGAAUGGAAACCAUAAGGCCAGGGUUAACGAUGAGACUAAGGAAGUGACUCCUGGUGCACAGAGUCCAGGACCUCCUCAGACGAAUGGAGGACCUCCCAUGUCUGACAGGUUGGAGAACAACCCUGUUGGUCAGUGGAUGAAGAAAACUGCUCUGGUGAACAAGCAGGACCAGGACUGGUCAGCAACGGCAUGAAGCCAGUUGAAAAUAUAUAAUAUAUAAGAUGAAACUAAGUGUAAAUAUAAUCAAAUAUAACAUGAAAUACACUGUAAUAUAGAACAGUAUAAUAUGACAUGAUAUAAUAUCGUAACACUUACUUGAAGCUGCUUCUUGUAUAGUGUUAUAUAUUCUAAUGAAUGCAUUCUUAACAACAUGAAUGAUGCAUUAAUGCAUACAUAGGACAUAACUGUAUAGUAAAAUUAUAAUAUAAUACUGUGCUGGUAAGCUGCUAGCUGUGGGGUUGCCCCCAGCUGUGGUUUCUAUCAUUCAGAGUAUCUACGCUCAACUGUGGUUCAAAUCCAUAGUUUUUAGCUUAGUUGUUACCGUAAACUAGCACUUCUUAGAGACAAAGUUAUGGGAAAUGCUGUAUAACUACUUACCAUUCUGAAGUGUAACAGUCAAGUUUAUAUGUAACAAUUGUUAAUCCCUUUUUUAAAUGUUUAUUUAUAUAUUUGUUUGCUUGAUUAGAUUGAAUUAGUAUGACUAAUGCAUUAUUUUACCCUCCCGUAUAGAGGGAUAUUAUUUUACCCUCCCGUAUAGAGGGACAUUAUUUUACCCUCCCGUAUAGAGGGAUAUUAUUUUACCCUCCCGUACAGAGGGACAUUAUUUUACCCUCCCGUAUAGAGGGACAUUAUUUUACCCUCCCGUAUAGAGGGACAUUAUUUUACCCUCCCGUAUAGAGGGACAUUAUGUUACCCUCCCAUAUAGAGGGACAUUAUUUUACCCUCCCGUAUAGAGGGACAUUAUUUUACCCUCCCGUACAGAGGGACAUUAUUUUACCCUCCCGUAUAGAGGGAUAUUAUUUUACCCUCCCGUAUAGAGGGACAUUAUUUUACCCUCCUGUAUAGAGGGAUAUUAUUUUACCCUCCCGUACAGAGGGACAUUAUUUUACCCUCCCGUAUAGAGGGACAUUAUUUUACCCUCCCGUAUAGAGGGAUAUUAUUUUACCCUCCCGUAUAGAGGGACAUUAUUUUACCCUU